rnacentral:rRNA from 1 species
AGUGAACGCUGGCGGUAGGCCUAACACAUGCAAGUCGAACGGCAGCACAGUAAGAGCUUGCUCUUACGGGUGGCGAGUGGCGGACGGGUGAGGAAUACAUCGGAAUCUACUUUUUCGUGGGGGAUAACGUAGGGAAACUUACGCUAAUACCGCAUACGACCUACGGGUGAAAGCAGGGGAUCUUCGGACCUUGCGCGAUUGAAUGAGCCGAUGUCGGAUUAGCUAGUUGGCGGGGUAAAGGCCCACCAAGGCGACGAUCCGUAGCUGGUCUGAGAGGAUGAUCGGCCACACUGGAACGGGGACACGGUCCAGACUCCUACGGGAGGCAGCAGUGGGGAAUAUUGGACAAUGGGCGCAAGCCUGAUCCAGCCAUACCGCGUGUGUGAAGAAGGCCUUCGGGUUGUAAAGCCCUUUUGUUGGGAAAGAAAAGCAGCAGGUUAAUACCCCGCUGUUCUGACGGUACCCAAAGAAUAAGCACCGGCUAACUUCGUG